GAGGCUGAAGGAUCAAGCAGUGAAAGAAACAAUGCUUGCCUGUCAGAAUUGAAGCUUCUGUCAAACUUAAUUACCUUAGACAUGCAAAUUACAGAUGCAGAUCAUAUGCCCAAGGACUUGUUUUUGUGCUUUCAAAAGUUGGAAAGGUUCAGAAUAUUUAUUGGAGAUGGGUGGGACUGGUCUGUUAAGUAUGCAACCCCAAGAACUUUGAAACUCAAGCUCAAUACAGUUAUUCAGUUGGAGGAGGGGGUGAACACGCUGCUGAAGAUCACUGAAGAACUUCAUUUGCAAGAACUGAAUGGUGUUAAGAGUAUCCUCAAUGACUUGGACGGGGAAGGUUUCUGUCAGCUGAAGCAUCUUCACGUCCAAAAUUGUCCUGGAGUUCAAUUUAUCAUCAACUCGAUGAGGAUGGGUCCUCGAACUGCUUUUCUGAACUUGGACUCACUGUUUCUUGAAAAUUUGGAUAACUUGGAGAAGAUCUGCCAUGGCCAACUUAUGGCAGAGUCGCUUGGAAACUUGAGAAUUUUGAAGGUAGAAAGUUGUCAUAGGUUGAAGAAUUUAUUUUCAGUCUCCAUGGCAAGAAGACUUGUGCGACUUGAAGAAAUCACAAUAAUUGAUUGCAAGAUCAUGGAAGAGGUUGUUGCUGAGGAAAGUGAGAAUGAUACUGCUGACGGUGAACCGAUAGAGUUCACUCAAUUACGUAGACUGACACUGCAACGUCUGCCUCAGUUCACAAGCUUUCACUCUAAUAGAAGGCAGAAGCUAUUAGCAAGUGAUGUGAGGUCAAAAGAAAUUGUUGCGGGGAAUGAGCUUGGGACUUCCAUGUCACUUUUCAAUACAAAGGUCUGGUUUGCUCUUUUAACAAGCUAUUAUUUGUCGUUUUAACCUCAAAAAAUAAAAACCCAUUCUCAUGAGUAGACAAAUUAAGGGCUUUGAUUUAUUUUUUAUCUCGCUGAAAAAUAAAAAGAACUUGAUAAAACAAAAUAUGUGCAUGCAGAUUUUAUUCCCCAAUUUGGAGGGCCUGAAGCUCUCCUCCAUCAAAGUGGAAAAGAUAUGGCACGACCAACCUGCUGUGCAGCCUCCCUGUGUUAAAAACUUAGCAAGCAUUGUUGUGGAGAAUUGUAGCAAUUUAAACUAUUUAUUGACAUCUUCUAUGGUCGAAAGUCUUGCUCAACUCGAAAGGCUUGAAAUAGGGAAUUGCGAGUCCAUGGAAGAAAUAGUUGUUCCAGAAGGAAUCGGAGAAGGCAGAAUGAUGAGCAAGAUGCUAUUCCCUAAACUACACCGCCUAGAGCUCAAUGGUCUGCCGAAACUCACAAGAUUCUGCACCACUAACUUGCUUGAAUGCCACUCCCUGAAAGUGCUGACGUUACUGAAAUGCCCUGAACUGAAGGAAUUUAUUUCCAACCCAUCAAGUGCGGAUGUCCCUGCCAUGAGCAAACCUGACGACACAAAAUCAGCUCUCUUCGAUGACAAGGUGAUUUUAUUUCAAAAGCAUGCUUAAUUUGUGAUAUUUUGUUUCUAUGUUUUACCCCAAAGGUGAUAUUUUGUUAUGGGCGUUGGCAAUCUAUUAACAGAAUGGAAUUGUUACUGCAGGUUGCAUUCCCUGACUUGGAGCUAUUUCGAAUUGUCGAAAUGGAUAAUUUGAAGGUGAUAUGGCACAGUGAACUCCAUUCUAAUUCCUUUUGCAAACUGAAGACACUGCGUGUUUGGAGUGUAAAGAAUUUACUGAAUAUUUUCCCUUCCAGUAUGCUGAGAAGAUUCCUUAAUCUAGAGAAUCUGACUAUAACUCGUUGUGAUUCAGUAGAAGAGAUUUUUGAUCUCCAAGCGCUCAUAAAUGUGGAACAAAGACUUGCUGUUACAGCCACUCAAUUGAGAGUUGUGCGUCUAAGGAAUCUUCCACAGCUGAAGCAUGUUUGGAAUAGGGAUCCACAAGGAAUUCUUUCCUUUCAUAACCUAAGUACUGUGCAUGCCGAGGGAUGUCCUGGUCUAAGAAGUCUCUUCCCUGCCUCUAUAGCCCUAAACCUUCCACAACUUGAAGAGCUUGAGAUAGAUACUUGUGGAGUGGAGGAAAUUGUUGCAAAGGAUGAAGGACUAGAAGAAGGUCCUGAGUUUUUGUUUCCUAAAGUUACCGAUCUGCUGCUUCGGGAAUUACCAGAACUAAAGAGAUUCUAUCCAGGAAUACAUACAUCAGAAUGGCCGAGGUUGAAAAGGCUCUGGGUGUUUGACUGUGAGAAAAUUGAAAUAUUUCCUUCAGAAAUGAAGUGCUCUCACGAACCAAGCAGGGAGGACCACAUGGACAUCGAAGGUCAGCAACAACUUCUCUCAUUUAGGAAGGUAUGAUCCUCACCCCUAUUCCACGUACGUACACGCUCCACAUCUUUCUAAUUUUCACAUAAACUUUCAUUAGACCGUUAUUAUCACAACUAGAAUCUUACGUUCAUUACUAGCAAUGCAAAAUCAGUGUUGUAUAUUAAAGAUUAUCUCACUCACCUAUAAAAUAUAAAAGUAAAAUAAAUACUAGGUAAAAGACUCAAAAAUUCUAUUAAAAAUCAUUAGAAAUACCUAUAACAAAUAUACAAAAUAUAAUAAAUAAAUAAAAACCAAAUAAAAGAUUCCAAUGCAUAAUAGACACCAGGUUUAGUCUCCUAAUUUUAGGGAUUAAAACGAUAAUUUUUCCAAAAACAGGGACCACAAUGUAAUCUUACCAAAAUUGGAUGACCACACUAUAAUUAUCAGAAAUACAUAACCAUAUUGAAAUUUCACCAUAAUCCAUAUUAAAUUCUGUCCAGAAUCUCAAUUUACAUUUUAGGAACCAAACUAUAAUUUUUUUCAAAGUGUAGGGACUAAAUUAUAAAUCUCCAAAAUAGAGGGACUAAACUAAAAAUUACACAAUUCAAUAAUUGAACAGAGGUUCAUCAUUCUUAAUCUCAUAAGAAUACUAUUCAAAAUUACACAAUUUAAUUAUUGAACAGAGGUUCAUCAUUCUUAAUCUCAUAAGAAUACUGUUCAAAAUUCCAAAAUACAUUUCAGAGGUCAAAUUAUUAUUUUCUAAAGUUGAGGGACUAAACUCUAGUUUUCAUUAAUUAAGAACCAAAAUAAAAUUUCAUCAUCUUCAACCUUGAGACCAUUCUGACAUGAUUUUCUAGCAAAGUUUAAUAAAUUUCUUAACCCAUAACAAAUCAAUUAAAUAGAUCAAUUAACAAAUUCAACACACUGAAAAUCAAUCACUAAAUUUUAAAUUCAUAAUAAUCAUGAAACAAUCUUAUUGUUAUGAUCACUGUUAUGAUUAAUUAUGUUUCUAUUCAAGCAAGGUGAAUUUGGUUGACAUCCCAAUAUUUGGUGAAUUAAUGAAGCAUGAUGACUUCUUUUGAGGGAUACAUAUGUUGUAUGAUGUGUUCAAUCUAAAAGCCACUGCCCCUCUGCGAAAAAAGAAUUCUUAUUGAAAGAUUGACAAAGCUUUUGCAUUCAUAACAUAACAAAACUGAAGCCAGAGCUCACGUGGCACAAUUCAUUUAGUCAAGUGUUCAGUUGAUCUUUCUAUGCACAGCCUAUAAACUUGUUAAGAAAACGUCAAGUCAAGCAUGCUUUCUUUUGAUUGGUUUUCAGAUCUUCCCCAACUUGGAGAAUUUAGGUUUGGAAGGAAAGGAUGCAUCGGCAUUAUUGAAAUGUCCUCAAUACUUCUUUCACAAACUCAAAGUUCUCCAUCUGUAUCGCUUUGGUGAUGCACAUGCAACUUUUCUAUUUGAUCUCCUUCCAAGGUUCCCUAAUAUGGAAAGACUUGAUGUGAAACGUGGUACGUUCAAAGAGUUGCUCCCGUCUAGACUUGAUGGUAUGGAGGAGCAUGCAACAGUUCUUCCACCGAUACGACACUUAGGGUUGUAUUCUCUUCCUUGCCUAGAGCAUUUAUGGAAGAGCAAUUCCCAACUGGACCAAGCUCUGCAGACUCUUGAAGCUCUAAGGGUAUGGAAUUGCGGCAGUUUGAUUUAUUUAGCUCCAUCGCGUGCUUCUUUCCAAAAUCUAACAAGUUUGGAUGUGUGGAAUUGCGAAAGAUUAGUAAAAUUGGUGACAUCCACAACAGCAAAAAGUCUGGCGCAACUCACAAUAAUGAGUAUAUCGGACUGCAUUAUGGUUACCGAAAUAGUAGCAAACGAGGGAGAGGGAAUAAAAGAUGAGAUUGUCUUCAGCAAAUUAGAAAGAUUAUUGCUUAAUGAUUUACCAAGCCUAACUAGCUUUUGCUCAGAAAAACACAGCUUUGAUUUCCCAUCUCUGGUGCAAGUAACUGUCAGGCAAUGUCCUGGGAUGAAGUUUUUCUCCAACGGAGCACUGAGCACUCCCAAGCUGCGGAGAGUUAAAUUGACUGAAGGGGACAAGAAAGGAUCCUGGGUUGGAAAUCUUAACACCACAAUACAACAGUUGUCUGCACAAACGGUAAGUACCGAUCAAUCAUUCCAUUUUCUGCAAACCAUUAAUCUCAAGCUUUUACUAUGACUCACUGUUAUAUUUCUUUCCUGAUGUCGAAAAACAAGUCAAUAACACCUAUACAUUAAUUAUUUUGCGUUAAAAAAAAUAGUUAAUAUACAAUGAGACAAGUCGAAUUGACGCAUGAACACUUUAUUUUUUACAUUUAUUGACACAAAUAGUUAAAGUAUUUAAUUAAAUGCAUGCGUAAAUCUUUUGAUUUAUAAUUAGAAUUUAAAUAAAAAUAAAAACAUAUUUGAAAAGCUUGUAUAUUUUUUUUUGUUAAAAAACAUUAUCCUACCUGUGAUAAACCCUAGUCCUGAUCCAGAGGGAGAACUGCAAAUUAACACCUUGACAUUUGCAGGAAGGCUUUUCAGCACCAAUACUACUAACACUAAUAUUGGGAUGAUUUGUAAGAUCUAAAAACGAGUGAACACUUUUCUUGCAAAAGCUCAUCAUGAUAUAGUAAUUAUAUAAUAUUUUUGAGAAGUAAUUAUAUAGAAUUGUAAAUGGAUGAGCACAAAGGGAGAGAACCUCAAGGCAUGGAAGUGAGAAGUUAUAGAGAGUCUAGAGGGUAUUAAUAACAUCCUCACAACAAAGAUAGAGAGGGAGAGGGAGACUAGGCGGUAUGGUAUAGAGAGAGCCAGAGUGACAGAAGGGGGUACAAUGAUAGCUGGAUCAGUGAUAGAGGUAUCGGUUCCAAGUCCCGCGUAAGAUAUAUGGCCUAAGACUUCGUUCAGAUUUUGCCUUCUCCUCCCCCACUCUUCUUUGUUUUUUCGAUAGGGUUGCCAAUUUUGAAAGUGAUAUAUAUAUAUGGACAUGGUUGUGUUAGCUGCCCAAAAUAACGGUCGGCCUAAUCAUUUCCAAUGCAAGAGGAAACACCUCCAUCCAUAUCCCACGUUCUCAUUUAUGAAUUAAAUCUUAAAAGAAACUGUAGAAAAAAAAUAUAGUGUUAUGGCACCAAUUUGAAUACGGAUAUUUAUUAGUUGAAGUUUGAAAGGAUGGCCUUCGAUUUGAUGGGUGAAAAAUUGAGAGGAGAAUAUUCUUAUCAUCUAAAAUAAAAGAAUAUUAUCAUGGAUAUAUAUAUCACCCAAAAGAUCUAUCAACUAUGAAAUGAAUUAAUUAUGAAUUGUCGUGCUACAGGCAUCAAAUGGUUUGGGCUCACUGUUAUUAAUUCUUGCUUGGUUGAUAAUUCGGUGAUUUGUACCUGGAAUAUUUUGGUUAGGAUAUGUCUCAAAUUUAAUUUAUAAUUAAUUUGGUUAAACUUGAAUAUCGGUGAUGCUAAAAUCCAAUUUUUUUUAAUUAAAUUCAUGAUAAUUUAAAACUUUUCACAGCCUUAUCUGAUAUUUGAAUCUUUGUGGUGAAAAAAGAUCACACAUCUUCUUUGCUAUCACAACAUCCCUAAAUUAUUACCAAAACAUUUCUAAAAAAAAACGUCAUCUGUAUUUGCUUGGCUUAUCCAAACCAUGCAUGUACGUACAGACUAUCAAUGUCUCUCUUUAUCUCUGCUAUAUAACUAAUAAUGCCAAUGUCACUAUAGACCUCAGACAUUCACAGUCUUUGCCAAUAUAUAAUACACUUCCAUUGAGAUAUUUUUCUAUACAAAAAAACAUGGUUAGCUAGGAGAGAAAAAUUAGACUUCGCAGUUAGAGACUUUUUUUAUUAUUAUUGUUUUUUACUGGAUGUUUAUUCUUUAAAAAAAAAAAACAAAACAAAGACGUUCGUUAAUGUUACAAGUCCCAAUUAAUUAUAAAUAAACUAGUACGUAUUUGUCUUGAUCGACUUGUUGACAACUGUUAGUAGCUGAGAAUAUCUUGCAUUGAUCUUCCAAAUCCUUUCGUUAUGGAAGCACUGUGUAAUCCUUUAUUGCUGGAACUCUUCAAAAAAAUUUGUGAUUUUGAUGCCCAGUUCUAACAUUCAUCUUGUACCAUGUUUUUCGAGUCCCGUUUUAAAAAAUUUAAUUUUUUAUAUUUUUUUAAUACUUUUCAAUCAUUUGAAUACACAAAUAUCAAAACAGCUGUAUCUUUUGUCACCCAGUGUUUUUUUCUCUGUUGUUUGUUGAUAGAAUCACAAAAAGAAAUUUCCUUAUCUCUGAUCCAUUUAUGAGGAUGAAAUACCUUAUCUCUCAAGGAAUUAAUAUCAACCUUAUCUCUCUAGGAGUCUUCUUGACCGUCUUCAAGGCAACCAGGAAUCAACGACUGACAUGGUGUCAGAAUUCCUAGGAGUCUUCUUGAUAGAUCUCGACUCUUUAUAAAGAAACAUCAUUUCAUCAAACACAACAUGAUGUGACAUAAAAAAAAUCUCUACUCGUAGGCUUAAAGCAUUUAUGGCCUUUGUAUUUGUCCUUGUAUCCGAUAAAAACACAUGGAAUUGUCUUGGGAUCAAACUUAUUUUUUAUUACAUCAUAAUUUAAUAUAUCAACAAAUUUUAAGAGAUUAUUUUUUAUAUAAAUAAAGUUUGAAUCUAGAGUAUCUAAUAAAAUAACAACCAAAUAAAAUAUAAUAGAAAAACAUUUGAACAAGCAUAUAAUUCUCUCCUCGACAACACUAUUGUUCCUCAAAAACUCAUCAUGCUGCUAUCGCCAAUUCCAGCUUCCAAGUCAAGAUCUGGUUUGUGGUCAAGCGGUGGUUUGAGAAGAGUGUCUCUAGCCGUUUUCAGUUUGAGAAGAGACUCCCUCAUGUUAGUUCUCCGAUCAGGAGAAUCAACCGUACAGGAUAGCCCGACACCAAGGAUAGUAAUCAAGCAUUCAUGUGUUGGGCUCUUCCCUGUGAACAGCUCAGGGUCCACUACUUGUUCUAUGCUAGCAGGAAAAGCUGAUUCCACCCACUUGAUUAUGCUUGAACCUCCAGAAAAGAUUUCGUGUGUUGGGCUCUUCCCUGUGAACAGCUCCAGCAGCAUAACUCCAUAGCUGUAAACAUCUCCCCGGAGUUGAUGGCCGCAAUCCUAAACCAUAUUCUGCGAAGAACAUGUCCAGACAUCUCAAAUGCAAUAAACUAAAGGAACUGUAUAAACACAAGUGAUCUAUAGACACAAGUAAGAACAGAGGCGCAUGCAAGGAAACACACUGUUCAAACAACAAAUUUGAGAUUCCAAGAUCAAGUUAAUUUGCUAACCUGGAGGAAUGUAUCCUAUAGAGCCCCUGAGGCCACCUGUGCAAGUUAUUGGCUGUUGGUCAGCUCCUCUCUCUGCCAGCAAUUUAGGCAAACCGAAGUCUCCCACCUUUGCAGUCAUGUCUUUGUCAAAAAUCACAUUACUUGGUUUCAAAUCACAGUGCACUACUGGAAUUUCACAGUCAUGGUGCAGGUAAUCCACAGCGCAAGCAACAUCGAUUGCCACAUUUAACCUCUCCAAAAUAUUCAACAAGCCUCCAUCUAAUCGCCUUUUGCUUCCCUUGAUCCAUUCUUCCAAGCUCCCAUUACGCAUGUAAUCAUAAACCAAAGCCACAAAUUGGAAACCGUUCACAUCUGUACUUGAGCAUGAGGUGACGAGUUUAAUAAGAUUCCGAUGCCUUACGUUCUUCAAAGCCUCACAUUCAGCCAAAAAACUCUUCCAGGAUCCGUACUUCUCGAUGUCAAGCACCUUCACUGAAACAACAGUCCCAUCUCCAAGUUCACCUUUGUAGACUGACCCAAAACUGCCCUUCCCUAUCAGAUUUCCAGUGUCAAAACUCCCAGUUGCCUUGCGAAGUUCUCUAUAAGUGAUUGUGGGAUGCUGCAGCUUAAUUGAAUCUGCCCUUGGCAUAAUUUUCCCUUUUCUUUUUCUUACACACAGCAAAACUGCUAUCACUGUGCAUACUGCAACUGUGGCUAUGCUGGCAAUGACAACAUAAAUUGCAGUGGAUGUUCUUUUCUGAUGUUGAUUGUUCCAACAAGUUAAAUCCAGGCAGAGCUUCGUAUUCCCUUCCACGUGAAUUCUAGAGAGAUUUCCAAAGGCUCCAUCCUUAGGAAGAAGUCCUUCAAGGUCGUUGAAUGAGAGGUUCAACAAGUGAAGGGCCUGCAAGUUUUCAAGAUUAUUGGGUAUUAUGCCUGAUAUUUGGUUCGAAGAGAGGUCAAGGAUCUCCAAACCCUUCACGUCGCCUAGAGUAGCUGGAAUGACUCCAGAGAACAUAUUAUUUUCCAUGAAUAACUUCUCCAAACUCUUCCAGCUUCCAAUUGUAUCUGGGAUGCUUCCAGACAAAUGAUUGUGAGAAAAAUCAACAGCGGCAACAUUUUCGAGCCCCUUGAUCUCUUGAGGCAAAGAACCUGUUAGCUGGUUACUGGACAGGUUCAGAGUUGCACUCAAACUGGAGAGACCGAAAAUUUCUUUCGGUAUGCUGAUAUGGUCCCAGUCAGGAGCUAAUUUGUAAUAACAGAAUUCACACUGAUUCUCUUCGGGUGAGAACGUACCCAAGAUAAAUGUUGAUAGAAAAAUAUUGUAUAUCUCAUUUUCUUUCCCAGCCUUUUUAUAAGGCUUCGUUAGAACGGUUACAAUAUUUGAAUAACUGCAACAAUAAAACAUAAUAAAUGCUGAAUGGAAACUAAUCAAUAUUUCGGUUAUGCAGCCGAAAUAUAUAAGGAACCGUUAUAACGGUUACACUAUUUAAAUUAUUAGAACAUAAUAAAUACUGAAUGAAAACUGAAUAAAAAACUGAUGCUUAUCACUGCUUCAUAAUUAUCUGCCGUUCACGCCUUAAGUUGCUGUCAUCAAUCCUGCAUUAAGUUGCCUUUCACUGCACUUUACUAUACUUGGGGUUCGGUUUUGUUGCUCUUCCCGAUCUACGUGGUGGCUUAUCAUUACUCCCCCCAGAAAGUGGAACCUUGUCCUCAAGGUUCAAUUGAGGAAAUUGUUGACACAGAAACUCAGUCGGUUCCCACGUAGCAUCCUCUGUUGGUAAGUGUUUCCAUUGGACAAGACUUUCAGUAAUGAACUUACCACCCUGCUUCACCCAACGGUGAUCAAGCACAGCCGCAGGUUCCAAAAUAAUUGCACCGUCAUCUGAUACUGGUGGAAGAUCAGUUUGAGUGUUGGAAGCAUCCCCCACAUAUUUCUUUAAUAAGGAUAUAUGAAAAACAGGAUGAAUACGGACACCCUCAGGUAAUUGGAGUUUAUAAGCCACCUUACCCACCUUUUGGAGAAUAGGAUAAGGACCAAAAAACUUGCUGGCUAAUUUCUGAUGUGCCCGUUUAAAUGCUGAGCUUUGACGAUAAGGCUGUAAUCGGAGAAAAACCAUAUCACCUUCUGCAAAAGACAAAUCCCUCCGAUGUUUAUCUGCAGUUUGUUUCAUGCGAUUGAUGGCAGUGGCUAAAUUUUGUUUGAGCUGCAACAGAAGCUCAUCACGGUGGAGAAGUGUUUGGUCCACUUCGUGAACUGGUGUGGAACCCUCAAAAUAGUCUGGAAGAGUCGGUGGUGGACGCCCAUAAAGUGCCUGAUAUGGAGUCAUACCAGUGGAUGCAUGAAAAGUAGUAUUGUACCAUAGCUCCGCCCAAGGCAAGAAGGACUGCCAUUUACGUGGCCACUGAUGGACAAAGCUGCGUAAAUACUGUUCCAGACAUCGAUUGACUACCUCUGUUUGGCCAUCGGUUUGAGGGUGGUAUGCGGAGCUCAUUUUCAGUUUUGUGCCUGACAGUAAAAAAAAUUCUUGCCAAAAUCUGCUAAUAAAAAUGGGGUCACGGUCACUGAUGAUAGAUCUUGGCAUGCCAUGCAAUUUGACCACGCCCUCAACAAAUUUGUCGGCCACUACCUUAGCCGUGAAUGGAUGAGAUAAUGCCAUAAAGUGAGCAUAUUUACUUAGUCUAUCCACCACCACAAAAAUUGUAUCUUUACCUUGUGAAAGUGGCAGACCGGUAAUAAAAUCAAUAGUAAUAUCAUCCCAUACCUGACAUGGAAUAGACAAAGGUUGGAGUAGACCUGCCGGUGGUAAAGUUUCCGAUUUAGUUCUUUGGCAUGUGUCGCAGCUCUUCACGUACUCCUGAACUGAUUUGUGCAUGGAAGGCCAGUAGAACUGGGUGGCCACCUUUUUAAAGGUGCGUAAGAUGCCCGAAUGACCCCCUAUUUUAGUAUCAUGGGCUUCAUAAAUUAAUUUGUUGCGUAGAGUGACAUCAGAAGGAACCACAAUUCGGCCUUUAAAAAAAGAAUAAUCCAUUGCGUGCAGUAAAAGGUCCUUCGGGUUGAGUUUGAACCAGGUUGCGAAUAACAUAGUCAUCUGUAGUGGCUGCGUUUUUAAUUUCUUCCCAUAUCGCAAGCUGUGGCACGAACAAAUUGUGUAGUGUAGGACUGGCCGGUCGACGAGAAAGGGCAUCCGCAGCAGAGUUUUCACGUCCUGGCCGAUACUGAAUCUCAUAGUCAUACCCCAAUAAUUUAGCAACCCAUUUCUGCUGUUCUGGCGUAGUGAUUCGUUGUUCCAGAAGAUAUUUGAGGCUGCGCUGAUCGGUUUGAAUGAUGAAAUGUUGUCCUAGCAAGUAUGGGCGCCACAUGCGAAUGGCUUCCACCACUGCGAGCAUUUCCUUUGCAUAAGUAGACCAUUUUUGCGACACCAAGAGCUCGACUCAUAAAGGCAAUAGGCUUGCCUUGUUGUUGAGAACUGCCCCAAUUCCAUUACCUGAAGCGUCGGUUUCCACUAUGAAGGUGUCAUUAAAAUUAGGCAUGGCUAAGAUAGGCGUUGUUGUCAUGGCCUUCUUAAGUGUCUGAAAAGCUUCCUCUGCCUCCGUAUUCCAACCAAAAUGCCCCUUUUUGAGAAGAUUUGUAAGAGCCCGAGCAAUUAUACCAUAAUUCCGAACAAACUUGCGGUAAUAACCUGUCAACCCCAAAAAUCCACGCAGCUCGAAAUAUUAGCAGGUCGGGGCCAUGUCACCAUGGCUUCAAUUUUGUUGCUAUCGACCUUCACCCCUUGAUGAGAUACAAUAUGACCCAAAUAUUCAAGCUCUUGCUUACCGAAAGCACAUUUACUAGCCUUGAGAUAAAACUGUUGUUGCUUUAAAAUGUCCAAGGUUUGAGUGACAUGAUGUAAAUGCAUUUCCCAAGUAGGACUAUAAAUCAAGAUGUCAUCAAAAAAUACCAAUAUGAAUUUUCGUAAAUGGGGCCGAAAAAUUGCAUUCAUAAUAGCUUGGAAUGUAGAGGGUGCGUUACUCAAACCAAAGGGCAUAACAAGAUAUUCAUAAUGACCGUUGUGUGUACGAAAAGCAGUCUUAUGGAUAUCUGAAGGUUGCACUCGUACCUGAUGGUAGCCGGCUCGUAAAUCGAGCUUGGUGAAAUACGUUGCCCCAUGCAGUUCAUCCAACAUAUCUUCCACGGUAGGGAUUGGAAACCGAUCUUUGAUAGUGACUGCAUUAAGAGAUCGAUAAUCGGUGCAAAAGCGCCAACUACCAUCCUUUUUUUUAACUAGCAACACCGGAGAGGAGAAGGGGCUGGUGCUAGGUCUGAUGAGUCCAGAAUUCAGCAUUUCCUGGACUUGUUUUUCAAUCUCUGCCUUCUGGAAAUAAGCAUAACGAUAGGGUCGGACGUUGACUGGCUCAAUUCCUUCCUUGAGAGAAAUAGUGUGAUCAAUCUCACGUUUGGGUGGCAACUGUGUGGGUUCAUCGAAGAUCUCUGGAUAUUUAGCUAAGACCCGACACAUACUCGGUGACUGGCUCCCUUCUGUGUCCUGCAUGGUGGACUGUGGACAAAUUGCAAAUACUGAAUGGCCUUGACGCAGCUCUUUGGAAAUCUCCUUCAAGGACGCGGCUUGAAUAGGCUGAUCACAAAACCCCUGCAGCUGUCUGUCCACGUUCUUCCAAGAGAAUUUCAUGGUGAGAGUUCGCCAAUUGCAUAUAACAGACCCCAGCAUUUCCAACCAUUGUACCCCCAGAACAAUGUCCAAAUCUGCUAGAGGAAGUGAAUAAAGGGUAAGGGAAAAAGGAAUUUCCUGAAGAAGGAUCUGCACCUUUUCGAAUUUUCCUUGGCAUUGUAACCGUGCCCCAUUAGCCACCCGAACCGUAAAUGUCUCUGUUGGGACUACUGGAAGUCGUAGCCGAUCAGCCAUGCGAGUGCUUAUAAAAUUGUGGGUAGAACUACUGUCGAUUAACACCACUGCAUUGACGCACCCCACUUUGGCAUCUACACGCAUGGUUCUAGGUGCAGACCAUCCCGUUAAAGCAUGCAGAGUAAUCUCAGGUUCAUCAUUUUCCUUUGCCACCUCUUCUGCGUCAGCUUCUUCAGUGACUUCUUCAUACGUGAUUUCAUUGAAAUCGGUUGGGCCCUCCAGAAGCAAGAGUUGCAUUCCUUGGCAUUUAUGGCCGGCAGUGAACCUCUCAUUACAAUUAAAGCACAGUCCUUGGGCUCUACGUUUCUGCAUCUCUUCCCAUGGUAAUCUACGAAAGGGUGCAUUUGGUGUUGCACGUGUCGUUGUAGGUAGCGUCAGUGGCACUCGAUUUACUUGAGUUGGUCGCAGGAAUUGGCGAUGUCUUUUCAUCUAUUCGUCCUUCAUGCGGGCUAGGCUAAUAGCUUCCUUUAGUGACUGAGGCUUGAACAUACGAAUCCCUUCUGCAAUUUCCGGUUUAAGGCCUCCCAUGAACGUCCCAACCAAAGCUUUUUGGGACCAUCCACGAACUUUGUUCCCCAACUUCUCAAACUCACUCUGAUAGUCACGUAAAGAUCCCACCUGCUUUGUAUGUGAUAAAGCUUCAUCAAAAUCCUCACAGUCAGUGGGUCCGAAUCUCGCCCACAAUUCCUCUUCAAAGGCCUCCCAUGUCAUCGUUCGUCUUUCCUCCCUAUAUGUCCGACGAGCCCACUGCCACCACUGAUUUGCUUCUCCUUCCAGAUGGAAAGAAGCCAGUGAUAUCUUUUGGUUGGCUGGAGUAUUUUGAAACUCAAAGAACUGGUCCACCCGAUUAAACCAUUCUGUCGGAUCUUGUCCAGAAAAUCGUGGAAAUUCCAGCUUGGCCAUUUUAGAAGAAAAAAUUUGUCUGUUACCUUCGUUCUCCUCAUGCAUUGGACGAGAAUUUCUUUCUCGGUUUGUGUUGUUAUGGCUUGAUUCUCCCUUGUCUGAUAACAACGCCUUGCUGGAUAUCAACGCCUCUGACAGUUUAUUGAUCGUUUCUUCUAGCUGAUGCAUUUUUCCCGUCAUGCUCAUCUCCAUUCUCUGUACUCCUUCUUGUACUCCACCGAGCCCUGCCUCCAGCAUUUCAAUUCGUUCUUUGUUAGUCGUCAUUUAAACCAGCUCUGAUACCAAUUGAUAUGGUCCCAGUCAGGAGCUAAUUUGUAAUAACAGAAUUCACACUGAUUCUCUUCGGGUGAGAACGUACCCAAGAUAAAUGUUGAUAGAAAAAUAUUGUAUAUCUCAUUUUCUUUCCCAGCCUUUUUAUAAGGCUUCGUUAGAACGGUUACAAUAUUUGAAUAACUGCAACAAUAAAACAUAAUAAAUGCUGAAUGGAAAGUAAUCAAUAUUUCGGUUAUGCAGCCGAAAUAUAUAAGGAACCGUUAUAACGGUUACACUAUUUAAAUUAUUAGAACAUAAUAAAUACUGAAUGAAAACUGAAUAAAAAACUGAUGCUUAUCACUGCUUCAUAAUUAUCUGCCGUUCACGCCUUAAGUUGCUGUCAUCAAUCCUGCAUUAAGUUGCCUUUCACUGCACUUUACUUUGUGCUUGCCUUUCACUGCACUUUACUAUACUUGGGGUUCGGUUUUGUUGCUCUUCCCGAUCUACGUGGUGGCUUAUCAUAUGCUUCCGUUGAUCCUGUUGCUGGAUAGAUCCAUGGACACCAAUUGCUGGAAAUUAACAAAAGUUGUGGGCAGACUUCCUACCAAGUCGUUAGUAGAUAGAUCAAUUUCAUUCAGUUUUUGGAGCUUUCCAAGGGAGUUUGGAAUUCUGCCCGAUAUCUUAUUUGCAGCCAAAUGCAACUCUUGCAGAUUUGUAAGCUCGCCGAUUUCUGGUGGAAUUUCACCAGAAACAUAAUUAUAGCUUAUAUUUAGCAACGCCAAGCUUCUAAGAUGUCUGAUUGAGGCAGGUAUCCUUCCAUAUAUUCUAUUCCCUCCCAAGUAUAAACUUCUAAGAGAACCCGAGAGAUUUCCAAUGGAUUCCGGAAUGAGACCCUCCAGAAGAUUGCCAUCAAUGGCAAGAAAGUUAAAAUAGCUACUGUUUAUGAAAGAAGUGAGAAAAUUGAGACCCUCAUCACCAGAACUUUUUAUCUGAUUGUAGCCAAUGUUAUACAUUUGCAAUUCAGGAAGAUUUCCAAGUCCUGAUGGCACAUAUCCACUCAGAAGAUUGUGUGCCAUACGGAUGCUCUGUAUGUUUGUAAGAUUAUGCAAAGACCAUGGAAUUGAACCAGUAAAUUUGUUGAUGCAAAAAUUGAAGUUCAAAAGAUUUGGGAGUCUAUCUCCAACAUCAACUGGGAUUUCACCUCGCAGUUGGUUUGAUGCAACCGCGAGGAAAACCAAAGAAGAAAUGUUGUACAGGGAUACAGGAAUUCUGCUGCUCUGCUGAGCUGAAACAGCAGGCAUAACCUUGGCCAGUGAGGAGGUCUCAUCCCGCAAGAAAUUUGAAGUUUGCGUAAAGUUACAGUGAAGUGUAUGAAUAGCUUCGUUCCAAAGGAGGAAAUUACAUUAUCAGUUGCCUGGGGAUCCUUCUGCUCUUGUAGAGAUCUGAGCUUUAUAUGAACAACUCACACUUGACCAAAUUAUUAUUAUUAUUAUUAUUUACCUCUUCUUUCAAUUGAGUAUAAAUUUCUCUAGCAAUUGGCACUUCCGAAAGCUUUUUAAAAGACAGAAAUUACCCUUAAAGAUUCUCAUCAACUCUGUUGUGAAAAAUUCUGAGAAUUGAUAAAUCCUUUUAUCCUUUUUCUUUCUAAUUAGCCACCCUCCUGUCCUGUCUUGAUUUUUAUUUUAUAUUUUAAAACAUACAAAGAUAUCUUUUACUUUAAUUCUUUGUUUUUAGGGUUGAUAUUGUAAAAAUAUUAUUUAGUUCAUUCAUUUUAUUGCAAGUUCUAGAAUCAAGGCUAAAUGCUCAGAAUUCCACCAAUUUAUUGUAUGUAAUUCACUAUUUAUUUUAUAUUGAUAAAUUAAAAACAUACAAUAAUCUUAAGAGAAAAUUGUUGCUUAAAUUCAUGUUCAUUAAGAAAAUCAAAGAAAAAAUUAAUAUACUCAGUAAAACAGUGUUGUUAAGCUAAACACCAUCUUUAUGUUUUCGCUAUCACCGUGUUUUGUUCAGGGAUCUGAGUGAUUAAUGUUGAUUGUAUUUCUUCUAAUGUUCUUCCCUUCGUCUCUGGCAGCAACUUCCAUACGAAUAGAAUAGUUAAAGCACACAUUCCACUGAAGAUGAAGAAGGUCCCUGCAAGAAAUAUUAAUGAAAAAAUAUUGACCAAAGGAUUGUAUGAAGAUAGAUAUGGAGGGACCUUUGCUUUUAUGAAGAUAAAUGUGGAAAUGAGUAAAAAUAAUCGACUUAUUCGAGCACGAACGUGAAGGCCAUACCAUAACUUAUAAAGCAUUAAUUAUAUUUUAGUCAAUCUAGUUUAGUAAAACUAACUAAUCAGCCAUCUUAGUUUCAAAAACUAUAUAUUUAAUCCUUAUGCUCUUAAAUAAAUUUAUAACUUGAUUCUUCUCGUCCAUCUCACUUUCUUUUCCAAUUUAUUUUGAGUUUUUUUAUUUUAAGAACAAAAAAAAAAAGCAGAUAGAAUAAAAAAAAUGAUGAGCAUAGAAAACCAUUUUUUGAAUAAAAUACUACUAAAUUAGGCGUGGCUAUUUAAUAAUUUCUCAUGCUAUACUAUAAGGUCUAAUUAAUUUAUUGUGAUAAACUAUAAAGACUAAGUUGUAAUUAACUCGAAUUUAUAUUUAUAUAUAAGAAAUCUACAUAUUUAUAACCUUUUUUUUUUAACACAAAUCAAAAAUAAUUUGUGGAGUUUUUUUGUUUUCUUUUUUAAGAUUACCUUGAUUAAACUAAACUUGUUCCAUAAAUGUAAAAUAAUCUGUUUUUUUUUUCAUAGCCUAUAUCAUUUACUUAAUUUAAAUUGAUCAUGAAAAAUAUCACCUGAACCUUUAAUAAAAAUAGAUACAAAGGAUUGAAAAUUAUAAAUUCAAAUUGGUAUAAAAAUCAGGAAGCUUCCAUUUAAGCUGGGGUGGAUGGACUCUCCACCGAUCCAGGAAUUCGCGGAAAUUAUUAUAAAAUAUUAACUGUUUAAGAGUAAUCAAAAGCGGAUGGAGCUCAAAUGGUAGAGCGCUCGCUUUUCAUGCGAGAGUAUAGGGUUCGAUACCUUGCAUCUCCAUUUCUGUGUUUUUUUUUUUUUUUGCUUGAAUGGAGUAUUCAGCUAAAACAAUAUUGUGUUCUGGAAGACACUACUAUAAUUGGAGGGUUGAAGAAAUUCCAACUGCCAAGUGAAUUGGGGAAGCUGAGGACUUCAGUUUGUUUCCCUGUGAAAACAUGAACUCUUUACAGAGAAGUGAGGACAUCCGGAUUUACUACUAUAUUUUAAAAAGUAUUUUUAAAAAAAUUAAAUUUUUUUUUAUUAAUUUUAAAUUAAUAUAUUUUUAGUGUUUUUAAAUCAUUUUGAUGCAUUAAUAUCAAAAAUUAUUUUUUAAAAAAUAAAAAAACAUCAUUAAUAUAUAUUUUAGCAUGAAAAAAACAACCAUACGGACACUAACCAACUUAAAUAAGUCAGUGUUCAUACCUUCUACUUUGGGCAUUACCAGAGCUCAAGAAAUUCUAUCCAGGAAGACACCGACACAUUUGACAGAAAUUAUGUGUAUCACUGUGAAAAAUUGGAGGUAUUUGAUUCAGAACAUACAUAGGAACACAUCCUUUUCUCUUUUUUGUUUUCUCUGCUAUAAUCCAUUUCCAUCACAAGAUCUCAUUGGACGAAAUUUUAAACAACAAUUACAUAUGAUUCAAAAAGAGACCCACCUGUCUAUGCUGCAAUUAUUUUGUCUUCCAAAUACCAUUUGAAGUGAGACACUUUCUACAAUUAUUUUUAUUUAGAUUUUCUAAAUCUUGAAAAAUUUCACAUUCAGUAUAAUAAAAAAGAUAUAAUUUUUUUUUAUCUGGAUUGAAAGAGCUUUAUUAUUAAAAAAUAAUUAGCUUGCUAGCUGUUUUCAUUUUUAGAUUUAAAUUAAGCACUAUUUCAGAUUUUUUCCCACUCGUUUUAUGAAGGAAAGAUGCACUCUUUCAACUAUACAGAGAAUAAUCAUUUUCCUUUUUUCUUCUUUCAGCAUUAUAUUCCGGAGACCCCUUGAUGUUAAUUUGCUAUUCAUCUUGAUUGCUUUCUAUCUAUCUUUCUUUAUUUCUUUUGUUACUUUAUGCUUUUGAAAAGCUGUUUAAUAUUUAUGCUUUUCAUCUUGAUUGCUUUCUUUCUUUGUUUGUUACUCUAUGCUCUUGAAAAGCCUCUGCUUUGCUGCUUGUUUAUUAUUUGUGUUGUUUUUGCUUUAUUAAUAUUAGUAUUAUUUAGAUCUUUGUCUGCUAAUCAAUCCAUGCCUCUCCCUACUUAAUAUAAUCCACCAAUACCACUUUUUUCCCAGUUCUGAUCAGUCAAGAAAAAUUUCACAUUCAGUAAAAUAAAAAAGAUAUAUAUAUAUAUAUUUUUUAUCUGAUUACAAGAUUGAAAGAGCUUUAUUAUUAAAAACUAAUUAGCUUGCUAGCUUUUAACAGCAAACCAGUUGUUCCUCACUGUUUAUGGAUGUUGUGCACUUGCUGAUUCGGCAGAGUUCAAUCGGUUAGUUCUCCAAAGUGGGCCCCUAGUUCUGUAGCAAGUCAAGUUGUUCUUUAUGAAGGAAAGAUGCGCUCUUUCAACUAUACAGAGAAUAAUUAUUAAGCCAUCCACUGUUGCUCUUAUCCAUUCCCUUGCUUUCUCACUGCUGAUAAACCUCAGCUGUUUAUAAUCUGCAGUAAUAUUUGCACCUCUGCUCACUGGUCUGAAGUCACUGCUUUGUUGAUUAGCUGAAACCAAGAGGUAUGCUUGCUUAAAGACUUUUCCUUUUUUCUAAUUUUUAUCACUUGAUUUCAGAGACCCCUUGAUGUUAAUUUGAUUCCAGAGACCUCUUGAUGUUAAUUUUUAUCACUUGAUUCCCUUGCUUUCUCACUGCUGAUAAACCUCAUCUGUUUUUAAUCUCCAGUAAUAUUUGCACCUCUGCUCACUGGUCUGAAGUCACUGCUCUGUUGAUUAGCUGAAACCAAGAGGUAUGGUUGCUUAAGGACUUUUCCUUUUUUCUAUUUUUAUCACUUGAUUCCAGAGACCCCUUGAUGUUAAUUUGCUAUUCAUCUUGAUUGCUUUCUUUCUUGCUUUGUUACUUUAUGCUUUUGAAAAGCCUCUGCUUUGCUGCUUGUUUAUUAUUUGUGUUGUUUUUGCUUUAUUAAUGUUAGUUGACUUGCAACAAAGAAAUCCUUUUGCUGUUCAUUUCUGAUUUAGUUCCUGAAGAUUUGAAAAGUUUCCUUCUGAUUUAAUAUGUUCAUUGCAGUUCCUUGAUUGCUUGAUUCCAGACAAGAAGAAGAGUCAAGUUUCAUUGGACAUGGAAAUUGUGAUUUCUAUUGUAGCCAAAGUUGCUGAGCCGUUAGUUGUUCCCAUUAAGAGACAGAUUGGUUAUGUAAUUGAUUGUAAUACCAAUAUUCAGAACUUAAAAAAUGAAGUUGAGAAGCUGACAGAUGCAAAAACAAGGGUGAUUCAUUCUAUAGAGGAGGCUAGAAGGAAUGGGGAAGAGAUUGAAGUUGAUGUUGAGAACUGGCUGAGAAGUGUUGAUGGGGUCAUUGAAGGGGGAGGUGGUGUUGUUGGAGAUGAAUCAAGUAAGAAGUGCUUCAUGGGUUUGUGUCCUGAUCUAAAGAUACGCUAUCGGCUGGGUAAAGCAGCGAAGAAGGAGUUGACGGUUAUUGUUGAUCUCCAGGAAAAAGGGAAAUUUGAUGGAGUUUCAUACCGUCCUGCUCCAUCGGGUAUAGGGCCUGUCAAGGAUUAUGAGGCCUUUGAAUCAAGAGAUUCUGUAGUAAAUGCUAUUGUGGAUGCAUUGAAGUAUGGUGCCGUGAACAUGGUUGGGGUAUAUGGGAUGGGUGGUGUGGGGAAGACCACACUUGUGUUGAAGGUUGCUGAACAAGUCAAGGAGGGUAGGCUGUUCGAUAAGGUGGUUCUGGCACUUGUGUCACAGACUCCAGACAUCAGAAGAAUUCAAGGUGAAAUAGCAGACGGGCUAGGACUCAAAUUGGAUGCAGAGACUGAUAAAGGAAGGGCAAGUCAACUAUGCGAGGGAUUGAAGAAAGCGACUAUGCGAGUACUUGUAAUUCUUGAUGAUAUUUGGAAAGAACUUAAAUUGGAGGAUGUUGGAAUUCCUCACGAAGGAUGCAAGAUACUCAUGUCUUCAAGAGAUGAAUAUGUACUGUCUCGCGAGAUGGGGGCAAACAAAAAUUUCAAGCUUGAAGUUUUGCCAGAAAGCGAAGCGAGGGAUUUGUUCGAAAAGAUGGUGGGGGGUACUGUUAAAAAUCCUAGUGUACAGCCUGUUGCUGCUGAAGUAGCCAAAAGAUGCGCAGGUUUGCCGAUUUUACUUGCUACAGUUGCUAGGGCACUGAAAAACAAAGAGUUACAUGCUUGGAAGCACGCCUUGAAACAGCUAAAAGGUUUGGUAAAGAUGAAUUGACAAACGAGUUUACUCGUGUCUAGAACUGAGUUACCAAAAUUUGAGAGGUGAUGAAAUCAAGUCAUUGUUCUUGCUUUGUGGGCAAUUACGAUCUAAUAAUAUUUUAAUCUCAGACUUGUUAAGGUAUGGUAUAGGCUUGGAUUUGUUUAAGGGAUGUUCCACAUUGGAAGAAACAAGAAACAGUCUGCUUACAUUGGUGGAUGAGCUUAAAGCCUGUUGUUUGUUGCUAGAAGGUGACAAUGAUGGAAGCGUGAAAAUGCAUGAUGUUGUUCAUAGUUUUGCCAUCGAUGUUGCAUCAAGGGACCACCAUGUGCUUGCCGUGGCAGAUGAAUCAAAGAAUGGCCAACCAAUGAUGUGCUUCAACAGUAGUGGAAUCUCUUCGCUUACCGGAAAUUUGAUCUUCCUGCAAUAUUAGAAUGUCCAAAUCUCAGGUCGUUUAUACUGCUGAACAAGGAUCCCUCACUGCAAAUACCAGACAACUUUUUCAGAGAAAUGAAGGAACUUAAAAGUUUGAAUCUACAGAAGUUAAUCUUUCACCACUGCCUUCGUCACUUUCAAUUUCUUUGAGAACCUUCAAACGCUGUGUUGGAUCAUUGUGUUUUGGAAGAUAUAUCUAUAGUUGGAGAGCUAAAGAAGUUGCAAGUUCUGAGCUUAGUGAGUUCUAAUAUUGUUUGUUUGCCAAAGAGAAAUAGGAAAAUUGACUCGUCUGCUACUUCUAGAUUUGAGCAAUUGUGAAAGGCUUGAAGUAAUAUCACCAAAUGUCCUUUCUUCCUUGACCCGUCUAGAAGAAUUAUAUAUGGGAAACAGCUUUCUGAAAUGGGAGGCUGAAGGAUCAAGCAGUGAAAGAAACAAUGCUUGCCUGUCAGAAUUGAAGCUUCUGCAAACUUAAUUACCUUAGACAUGCAAAUUACAGAUGCAGAUCAUAUGCCCAAGGACUUGUUUUUGUGCUUUCGAAAGUUGGAAAGGUUCAGAAUAUUUAUUGGAGAUGGGUGGACUGGUCUGUUAAGAUGCAACCCCAAGAACUUUGAAACUCAAGCUCAAUACAGUUACUCAGUUGGAGGAGGGGGUGAACACGCUGCUGAAGAUCACUGAAGAACUUCAUUUGCAAGAACUGAAUGGUGUUAAGAGUAUCCUCAAUGACUUGGACGGGGAAGGUUUCUGUCAGCUGAAGCAUCUUCACGUCCAAAAUUGUCCUGGAGUUCAAUUUAUCAUCAACUCGAUGAGGAUGGGUCCUCGAACUGCUUUUCUGAACUUGGACUCACUGUUUCUUGAAAAUUUGGAUAACUUGGAGAAGAUCUGCCAUGGCCAACUUAUGGCAGAGUCGCUUGGAAACUUGAGAAUUUUGAAGGUAGAAAGGUGUCAUAGGUUGAAGAAUUUAUUUUCAGUCUCCAUGGCAAGAAGACUUGUGCGACUUGAAGAAAUCACAAUAAUUGAUUGCAAGAUCAUGGAAGAGGUUGUUGCUGAGGAAAGUGAGAAUGAUACUGCUGACGGUGAACCGAUAGAGUUCACUCAAUUACGUAGACUGACACUGCAACGUCUGCCUCAGUUCACAAGCUUUCACUCUAAUAGAAGGCAGAAGCUAUUAGCAAGUGAUGUGAGGUCAAAAGAAAUUGUUGCGGGGAAUGAGCUUGGGACUUCCAUGUCACUUUUCAAUACAAAGGUCUGGUUUGCUCUUUUAACAAGCCUAUUAUUUGUCGUUUUAACCUCAAAAAAUAAAACCCAUUCUCACGAGUAGACAAAUUAAGGGCUUUGAUUUAUUUUUUUUAUCUCGCUGAAAAAUAAAAAGAAGUUAAUAAAACAAAAUAUGUGCGUGCAGAUUUUAUUCCCCAAUUUGAAGGACCUGAAGCUCUUCUCCAUCAAAGUGGAAAAGAUAUGGCACGACCAACCUGCUGUGCAGCCUCCCUGUGUUAAAAACUUAGCAAGCAUUGAAAUAUGGUAUUGUAGUAAUUUAAACUAUUUAUUGACAUCUUCUAUGGUCGAAAGUCUUGCACAACUCGAAAGGCUUGAAAUAGGGAUAUGCGAGUCCAUGGAAGAAAUAGUUGUUCCAGAAGGAAUCGGAGAGGGCAAAAUGAUGCUAUUCCCUAAACUACACUCCGUAAUGCUCAAUGGUCUGCCGAAACUCACAAGAUUCUGCACCACUAACUUUUGAAUGCCACUCCCUGAAAGAGCUGUGGUUAGGGAAUUGCCCUGAACUGAAGGAAUUUAUUUCCAUCCCAUCAAGUGCGGAUGUCCCAGCCAUGAGCAAACCUGACAACACAAAAUCAGCUCUCUUCGAUGACAAGGUGAUUUUAUUUCAAAAGCAGGCUUAAUUUGUGAGCUUCCCUCACACGUGUAUUUUGUUUCCAUGUUUUACCCCAAAGGUGAUAUUUUGUUAUGGGCAAUCUAUUAACAGAAUGGAAUUGUUACUGCAGGUUGCAUUCCCUGACUUGAGUUUUCAAAUUUUCGAAAUGGAUAAUUUGAAGGUGAUAUGGCACAAUGAACUCCAUCCUGAUUCCUUUUGCAAACUAAAGACACUGCUGGUUUGGAGUGGAAAGAAUUUACUGAAUAUUUUCCCUUCCAGUAUGCUGAGAAGAUUCCAUAAUCUAGAGAAUCUGCAUAUAACUGAAUGUGAUUCAGUAGAAGAGAUUUUUGAUCUCCAAGUGCUCAUAAAUGUGUAACAAAGACGUGCUGUUACAGCCUCUCAAUUGAGAGUUGUGCGUCUAUCGAAUCUUCCACAGCUGAAGCAUGUUUGGAAUAGGGAUCCACAAGGAAUUCUUUCCUUCCAUAACCUAAGUAGUGUGAGUGGUGUGAGUGUCUGGGGAUGUCUUGGUCUAAGAAGUCUCUUCCCUGCCUCUGUAGCCCAAAACCUUCCACAACUUGAAGUGCUUUGGAUAGUAGCUUGUGGAGUGGAGGAAAUUGUUGCAAAGGAUGAAGGACUAGAAGAAGGUCCUGAGUUUUUGUUUCCUAAAGUUACCGAUCUGCAUCUUGUGAAAUUACCAGAACUAAAGAGAUUCUAUCCAGGAAUACAUACAUCAGAAUGGCCGAGGUUGAAAAAGCUUCGGGUGAAUGACUGUGAGAAAAUUGAAAUAUUUCCUUCAGAAAUAAAGUGCUCUCACGAAGCAUGCAGGGAGGACCACAUGGACAUCGAAGGUCAGCAACCACUUCUCUCAUUUAGGAAGGUAUGAUCCUCACCCCUAUUCCAUGCACGUACACGCUCCACAUCUUUCUAAUUUUCACAUAAACUUUCAUUAGACCGUUAUACCGUUAUUAUCACAAUGCAAAAACGGUGUUGUAAAGAUACUCCACCUGCACUAGAUCUCAAAAAAUAUAUAUUAAAAGAACAAGUUAUUGAAAAACACACAACAUUUCAUAAUUUUUUUAAAUAUUAUAUUAUUCAAAACUAAUAAAACCAAUUGAUAGUUCAAAAAUUCUCAUCAAUAAUUAAAACAAAAAAUAAUAAUUCAUAAUACUCAUUAUAUUAUUAAAAUCCAAAUUUAAUUAAAACAAGGUAAUAAUGGAGCAUCUAAAACAUCGAGUAAAAACUAAAAAAGAAAUCUCACGAAUUAAAUAAGAAAUACUAACCAAAACUGAAAAAGUAAGAACACUUAACAAAAUUUACUGGUAACAGAAAAUAACAACCUGAAGUAAUUCAACUAACUCAAUGAAGGAAUAAUAUUUAAUAUACAUCUUAUAUAUUAAUAUUUUGUAAGAUUAUUUAUCUUGACACAAACACACAAUAAGCAUGUUAUCAUAAAGUACAUAUCAGUGACUAGAUGACUUGAUGACAUUCGAAUGUAAUUGCUGUGAGAGGAUCAGUUGGCACACGUUAAUAUCUCUUUCACUAGUUAGGUGUGCAGAAUAUUAUGCACUUAUGUUAACUACUCUCCUAGUUAUUAAACUCAGGACUCAGUCGACCUUGUGGCUAGACCAGUCUGGAUAAGGCAAAAGAUCGGGAUAAGCAAAAACUCUUCAAAAUCCGGUUGAUAUAUAGGGUUGACUAAUGACUCGGGUGAACCGGCAAAACCCACUUGAGACUGGUUUUUUUUUUUAAAUAUGUUUUUUUUUCUAGCCAGAGACCUCUUGUUUUGUAUUUUUUUUAGUUGAUUAUUAACCCCUUUUAAAGUUUAUUAUAUAAAUAUUAGAAUAAUGUUUUAUUUUUUCAAUGUGGGAUUUGAAGCCCUUUAAUACACACACACACACUAUGUUUAUAAGAAAAACAUUAUGUUUUUUAAAUGUGGGAUAAAAAACCUUUUUGGUUUAAAUACUUCAACUUAAAAGGAUAACAUACUAAUAUAAUAUCUUUUCAAUGUGAGAAAAAAAUCUUUUGAAAGAAUUUCAAACUUCAUUAUUUAUAAUAUAUAUAGCUUAUAUUCACAUGAAUUAUUUCUUAAUUUUUUCAUAUGAAAUAUUAGAACUUAAAAUAUAUAUUUUUUAAUUUUUUCGAGUUGAUUUAGGUUGACCCGGGAUCACCCGUGUAACCCGGGACCCAACUUCUUGGUUGGGUUUGAUAGCCAUGACUACUCUCUGUUAGCAAGAAGUUACUGACAAGUCCUAUAUUAAGACAUAAUAAAUAUUCAUAUAAUUAUCAAAGCAAUAUAUAUUAUAUCAAAUAGAAUUUAAUUCAACAGAAUGUGAGUACAAAUUCAAAAAUAGACGAGUACUCGAAAAAUAAAGCAUCAUAUAUAAAUAUUCAAGUAAUUAACUAGUCAUAAUCAUCAUAUAAUAAACAUACACAUUUAUUUAUAUUACAUGUAUAUUAAAGAUUAUCUCACUGACCUAUAAAAUACAUAACUAAAAUGAAUACUAGAUGAAAGACUCAAAAAUCAUAUUGAGGAUUAUUAGAAGUAUCUAUAACAAAUAUACGAAAUAUACUAAAAAAAAAAACCAAAUAAAAGAUUCCAAUGCAUAAUAGAAUCCAGGUUUAGUCUCCUAAUUUUAGGGACUAAAACAAUAAUUUUUUUCAAAUAGGGACCAAAAUGUAAUUUUAUCAAAAUUGGAUGACCAAACUGUAAUUAUCAGAAAUACAUAACCAUAUUGAAAUUUCACCCAUAAUCCAUAUUAAAUUCUAUCCAGAGCCUCAAUUUACAUUUUAGGAACCAAACUAUAAUUUUUUUCAAAGUGUAGGGACUAAAUUGUAAAUCUCCAAAAUAGAGGGACUAAACUAAAAAUUAUACAAUUCAAUUAUCAACAGAGGUUCAUCAUCCUUAAUCUCAUAAGAAUACUGUCCAAAAUUCCAAAAUACAUUUCAGAGGUCAAAUUAUUAUUUUCUAAAGUUGAGGGACUAAACUCUAAUUUUCAUUAAUCAAGGACCAAAAUAAAAUUUCAUCAUCUUCAACCUCGAGACCAAUCUGACCAGAUUUUCUAGUAAAGUUUAAAUAAAUUUCUUAACCCAUAACAAAUCAAUUAAAUAAAUCAAUUAACAAAUUCAACACACUGAAAAUCAAUCAUUUAAGUUUAAAUCCAUAAUAACUAUGAAUUAAUCUUACUGUUAUGAUCACUGUUAUGAUUAAUUAUGUUUCCAUUCAAGCAAGGUGAAUUUGGUUGACAUCCCAAUAUUUGGUGAAUUAAUGAAGCCUGAUGACUUCUUUUGAGGGAUACAUGUUGUAUGAUGUGUUCAAUCUAAAAUCUUUUGCAUUCAUAACAUUACAAAACUGAAGCCAGAGCUCACGUGGCACAAUUCAUUUAGUCAAGUGUUCAGUUGAUCUUUCUAUGCACAGCCUAUAAACCUGUUAUGAAAACGUCAAGUCAAGCAUGCUUUCUUUUGAUUGGUUUUCAGAACAUCCCCAACUUGGAGGAUUUAUAUUUGGAAAGCAAGGAUGCAUCGGCAUUAUUGAAAUGUCCUCAAUACUUCUUUCACAAACUCAAAGAUCUGGAACUAUUAUGCUUUGGUGAUGCACAUGCAACUUUUCUAUUUGAUCUCCUUCCAAAGUUCCCUAAUAUGGAGAGACUUAGUGUGGCACAUGGUACGUUCAAAGAGUUGCUCCCGUCUAGACUUGUUGGUAUGGAGGAGCAUGCAACAGUUCUUCCACCGAUACGACACUUAGAGUUGCAUUCCCUUCCUUGCCUAGAGCAUUUAUGGAAGAGCAAUUCCCAACUGGACCAAGCUCUGCAGACUCUUGAAACUCUAAGGUACAGGAUUGCGGCAGUUUGAUUUAUUUAGCUCCAUCGCGUGCUUCUUUCCAAAAUCUAACAAAUUUGGAUGUGUGGGAUUGCGAAAGAUUAGUAAAAUUGGUGACAUCCACAACAGCAAAAAGUCUGGCGCAACUCACAACAAUGAGUAUAAGGAACUGCAGAAUGGUUACCGAAAUAGUAGCAAACGAGGGAGAGGGAAUAAAAGAUGAGAUUGUCUUCAGCAAAUUAGAAAAAUUAGAGCUUCAUGAUUUACCAAGCCUAACUAGCUUUUGCUCAGAAAAACACAGCUUUGAUUUCCCAUCUCUGGUACAAGUAACUGUCAGCCAAUGUCCUGAGAUGAAGUUUUUCUCCAACGGAGCACUGAGCACUCCCAAGCUGCGGAGAGUUAAAUUGACUGAAGAGGACAAGAAAGGAUCCUGGGUUGGAAAUCUUAACACCACAAUACAACAGUUGUCUACACAAACGGUAAGUACCGAUCAAUCAUUCCAAUUUCUGAAAACCAUGAAAUAAGUUCUAACUAGGUAUCUAAUUUUGCUUGUAUUUAACUAUUUCAGAAAGCUCAAAUUGCUGAAAGUUCAUCAUCGUAAAAGCUUGAGAUACAUGCUUGCUCCACCGAUGGGUUCGAUCCCUGUGCAGCUACUAGAGUUGGAAGUAAAAGGAGAGAAAGGAAGAAAGGAGGGAGAAGAAGAAGAGAGGAGCAGGAGAAAUCAAUUAAUGAUCUUCAUAAUUCAUCGUCAAAACUGUGUAAUGUAAAAUACAAUACUAUAAAUAGCAAAACUCUACCCAAACAUUGAUUUACAAUUACUAUAAAUAUAAAUAAAUGGUGUUUUCAUGUAAAAAUAUUAUAAUUGUUAAUUUUUUUGUGGUAAAAUUGUAAUUUUUGGGUUUUUUUUUUAGAAAACAAGUUUUUUCAAUAUUUUGUUUAUACUUGUUAUUUUUAUCAUUUUAUAUUUGAUUUAUUUAUCACCAUUUUUUAUCUUUAUUUUUUUCCUUACACUUUUUUUUUAAAUAUUAUUUUUUACACUUUAAAUAUUUAUCACAAUACUUGGUUUAUCACUAUACUAUUGUUUUGUUUUUAUCUUUAUUUUUUUAUAAUUUUUCAUUACAUUUUUUUUAAACUAUUAUAUGUAGAAUACUUUUUUUAUUUUUUUUUUUAUUUUAUUAACACAUAUGAUAUUUACUAUAAUUUAUUAUAUAUAAGUAUCGAUUUCUUGAUUCACUACUUAAUGUCGAAAAACACGUCAAUAACACUUAUACAUUAAUUAUUUUGUGUUAAAAAAAUAGUUGACCUACAACGAAACAAGUUGAAUUGACGCAUGAACACUUUAUUUUUUAUAUUUAUUGACACAAAUAGUUCUCAAAGUAUUUAAUUAAAUGCAUGUGUAAAUCUUUUGAUUUAUAAUUAGAAUUUAAAUAAAAAUAAAAACAUAUUUGAAAAGCUUGUAUAUUUUUUUUUGUUAAAAAAACAUUAUCCGACUUGUGAUAAACCCUAGUCCUGAUCAAGAGGGAGAACUGCAAGCACCUUGACACUUGCAGGAAGGCUUUUCAGCACCAAUACUACUAACACUAAUAUUGGGAUGAUUUGUAAGAUCUAAAAACGAGUGAAUACUUUUCUUGCAAAAGCUCUUCAUGAUAUAUAUAUAUAUAUAUAUAUAUAUAUAUAUAUAUAUAUAUUAUAAUAUUUUUGAGAAGAAAGGCUACAGUACAUAGAAUUGUAAAUGGAUGAGCACAAAGGGAGAGAACCUUAAGGCAUGGCAGUGAGAAGUUAUAGAGAGUCUAGAGGGUAUUAAUAACAUCCUCACAACAAAGAUAGAGAGGGAGAGGGAGAGGGAGACAGCGUGACAGAAGCUGUAUCAGUUUCAAGUCCCGGGUAAGAUAUAUGGCCUAAGACUUCGUUCAGAUUUUGCCUACUCCUCCCCCACUCUUCUUUGUUUUUUAGAUAGGUUAGCCAAUUUUGAAAGUGAUAUAUAUAUAUAUAUAUAUAUAUAUAUAUAUAUAUAUAUAUGGACAUGGUUGUGUUAGCUGCCCAAAAUAACGGUCGGCCUAAUCAUUUCCAAUCCAAGAGGAAACACCUCCAUCCAUAUCCCACGUUCUCAUUUAUGAAUUAAAUCUUUAAAGAAACUGUAGAAAAAAAAUAUAGUGUUAUGGCACCAAUUUGAAUACGGAUAUUUAUUAGUUGAAGUUUGAAAGGAUGGCCUUCGAUUUGAUGGGUGAAAAAUUGAGAGGAGAAUAUUCUUGUCAUCUAAAAUUAAAGAAUAUUAUCAUGGAUAUAUAUAUCACCCAAAAGAUCUAUCAACUAUGAAAUGAAUUAAUUAUGAAUUGUCGUGCUACAGGCAUCAAAUGGUUUUGGCUCACUGUUAUUAAUUCUUGCUUGGUUGAUAAUUCGGUGAUUUUUGUACCUGGAAUAUUUUAGUUAGGAUAUGUCUCAAAUUGAAUUUAUAAUUAAUUUGGUUAAACUUGAAUAUCGGUGAUACUAAAAUCCAAUUUUUUUUAAUUAAAUUCAUGAUAAUUUAAAACUUUUCACAGCCUUAUCUGAUAUUUGAAUCUUUGUGGUGAAAAAAGAUCACACAUCUUCUUUGCUAUCACAACAUCCCUAAAUUAUUACCAAAAACAUUUCUUAAAAAAAACGUCAUCUCUAUUUGAUUGGCUUAUCCAAACCAUGCAUGUACGUACAGACUAUCAAUGUCUCUCUUUAUCUCUGCUAUAUAACUAAUAAUGCCAAUGUCACUAUAGACCUCAGCCAUUCACAGUCUUUGCCAAUAUAUAAUAGACUUCCAUUGAGAUAUUUUUCUAUACAAAAAAACAUGGUUAGCUAGGAGAGAAAAAUUAGACUUCGCAGUUAGAGACUUUUUUUUUAUUAUUGUUUUUUACUGGAUGUUUAUUCUUUUUUUUUAAAAAAAAAAAAAAGACGUUCGUUAAUGUUACAAGUCCCAAUUAAUUAUAAAUAAACUAGUACGUAUUUGUCUUGAUCGACUUGUUGACAACUGUUAGUAGCUGAGAAUAUCUUGCAUUGAUCUUCUAAAUCCUUUCGUUAUGGAAGCACUGUGUAAUCCUUUAUUGCUGGAGCUCUUCAAAAAAAUUUGUGAUUUUGAUGCCCAGUUCUAACAUUCAUCUUGUACCAUGUUUUUCGAGUCCCGUUUUAAAAAAUUUAAUUUUUUUUAUUUUUUUAAUAUUUUUCAAACAUUUAAAUACACAAAUAUCAAAACAACCGUAUCUUUUGUCACCCAGUGUUUUUUUCUCUAUUGUUUGUUGAUAGAAUCACAAACAGAAACUUCCUUAUCUCUGAUCCAUUUAUGAGGAUUAAAUACCUUAUCUCUCUAGGAAUUAAGAUCAACCUUAUCUCUCUAGGAGUCUUCUUGACCGUCUUCAAGGCAACCAGGAAUCAACGACUGACAUGGUGUCAGAAUUCCUAGGAGUCUUCUUGAUAGAUCUCGACUCUUUAUAAAGAAACGUUCAUUUCAUCAAACACAACAUGCUGUGACAUAAAAAAAUCUCUACUCGUAGGCUUAAAGCAUUUAUAGCCUUUGUAUUUGUCCUUGUAUCCGACAAAAACACAUGGAAUUGUCUUGGGAUCAAACUUAUUUUUCUUUUGGUCCAAGGAAAGCAUUUUGAACCAAAAACCCUUAAACUAGUGUAUGUUAGUUUGUGUUUUAUACAACUUAAAAUAUGGUGUUCUGGUAAAGGUCCCCUCUACGUGCUCCUGUCAUCAAUUUUUGCCCUGUUGUUCUGUCAUUAACACAAUAAUUCUCAUCAGAAAAUUCACAAUGUACAGGAUGCUGAGUUAUUAGUUGAUUGAAUAAUAGUAGGUUUCUUGUUAAUUCAAGAACAAAUAAGAUAUUUUUUAAUGGUAACAUGAUGAUCAUCUGUUUUAUAUUUGUAUCACCUAUACUAUUAAUUUGCAAUGAUGAACCAUCUCCAAUUAUAACAUCAUCUGUUCCCUUAUAGCUUCUAAGAUUACUAAGUACAUCUACCUUACAUGUCAUAUGAAUGGAUGCACAGUGUUUGGUGUACAUUCUAUAUCAGCUACAAUGUUAUCUAACAUGAGGGCUACUAGUGCUUGAGAAAUGUCAGACUGUGUUGUUGCUUUCUUUAGUGGCCACCAAUAUAUUUUUGCAAUGGCCAUUGACAUCAUAGUACAUAUUGACACUUAUCUUCACGAUACAUCUUUUUUUCUAUAGGUGUCGUCCUGCGUUCACCUAGGGAAGAAGAAGGACGAGGUCUGGAAUUGGAAACAAAAACAUCGUUAGGAUUUUUCUUGUUACCUUAAUUAUGGUUGUUGUGCUUGGAAGCCAUUUCAUGCUAAAUUAAAGGACUGGCGUUUGCCAUAGGUAGGCGAAGAGACUUGUUGUGCUCUCUUCACGAUACAUAUAAGGCUUCUUCUCACCGUAAUGGAUUGGUUUGAGCUUUGAUAAAUUAAAAUAAAUUCAAAAUCAAGUAAAUAUUAAAAUAUGAAAUUGACGGGAUAGAAAUUACAAUUAAGCUCUACUUCCAAGUCGUCGCCCAAUAAAUACUCAAGCCAACUAUAUGGAGGCAAUAACUCAAUAUUUUGAUUCUACCAAGGACCUGGACACUACUGUAUGUAUUUUGAUUUUCUAUGAAAUAAGAGUUCCUUCAAGGAAAAUGCGCUAACAUAUGUUGUACUGAGAUUGAAGCCCAAUUUAUAUCACCAGGAGAUGGAGGCAGGCUGUUUUACAAAGGAGGUGUUUCAGGCUAUAGUUGGGUAAUAUAUUUUUUUUAAAAAUUAUUUUGUUUUAAAUUAAUAUUUUGAUAUUUUUGGAUUGUUUUAAUAUAUUGAAGUCAAAAAUAAAUUUUAAAAAUAAAAUAAAAAUUAUUAUUUUAAUGUAUUUCUAAGUAAAUAACAUUUUAAAAAUAAUUUUAUUACUAUCUUUUAUAUAUAUAUAAACUAUUAAGUGAGAGAGAAAGGAAGGGAAGCUAUUUAAAUGGAAGAGAAAGAGGCGGGAGGGGAGGUGGGAUGAACAUUUUUAGGGAUUUUUCAUUAAAGGGUGAAAAGAGAGGGAUUAUUAUUAUUUUUUUGCCUAUAUGGCAUAAAUUAGUGGAACCAAGCUGUAACUAAGAGAAAUGUGCUAGUUUCAGCUUGCUCGAGCAUUGCAAAAUAAGGCAUGUUGUUAACCAUUCUCCAAGAAAUAUAAAACAAAAUAAAAUAAAACAUGAACCAGGAAGAACAAUUAGAGACAAGCACAGAACAAAACAGAGAGUGAACCAGCUUAAUAUCUAGAAACUCAUCAUGCUGCUAUUGCCAAUUCCAGCUUCCAAGUCAAGAUCUGGUUUGUGGUCAAGCGGUGGUUUGAGAAGAGUGUCUCUAGCCGUUUUCAGUUUGAGAAGAGAGUCCCUCAUGUUAGUUCUCCGAUCAGGAGAAUCAACCGUGCAGGAUAGCCCGACACCAAGGAUAGUAAUCAAGCAUUCAUGUGUUGGGCUCUUCCCUGUGAACAGCUCAGGGUCCACUACUUGUUCUAUGCUAGCAGGAAAAGCUGAUUCCACCCACUUGAUUAUGCUUGAACCUCCAGAAAAGAUUUCGUGUGUUGAGCUCUUCCCUGUGAACAGCUCCAGCAGCAUAACUCCAUAGCUGUAAACAUCUCCCGGAGUUGAUGGCCGCAAUCCUAAACCGUAUUCUGCAAAGAACAUGUCCAUACAUCUCAAAUGCAAUAAAGUAAAGGAUCUGUAUAAACACAAGUGAUCUAUAGACACAAGUAAGAACAGAGGCGCAUGCAAGGAAACACACUGUUCAAACAACAAUUUGAGAUUCCAAGAUCAAGUUGAUUUGCUAACCUGGAGGAAUGUAUCCUAUAGAGCCCCUGAGGCCACCUGUGCAAGUUAUUGGCUGUUGGUCAGCUCCUCUCUCUGCCAGCAAUUUAGCCAAACCGAAGUCUCCCACCUUUGCAGUCAUGUCUUUGUCAAAAAGCACAUUACUUGGUUUCAAAUCACAGUGCACUACUGGAAUUUCACAGUCAUGGUGCAGGUAAUCCACAGCGCAAGCAACAUCGAUAGCCACAUUUAACCUCUCCAAAAUAUUCAACAAGCCUCCAUCUAAUCGCCUUUUGCUUCCCUUAAUCCAUUCUUCCAAGCUCCCAUUAUGCAUGUAAUCAUAAACCAAAGCCAUGAGGUUACGAGUUUAAUAAGAUUCCGAUGCCUUACGUUCUUCAAAGCCUCACAUUCAGCCAAAAAACUCUUCCAGGAUCCGUACUUCUCGAUGUCAAGCACCUUCACUGCAACAACAGUCCCAUCUCCAAGUUCACCUUUGUAGACUGACCCAAAACUGCCCUUCCCUAUCAGAUUUCCAGUGUCAAAACUCCCAGUUGCUUUACGAAGCUCUCUAUAAGUGAUUGUGGGAUGCUGAAGCUUAAUUGAAUAUGCCCUUGGCAUAAUUUUCCCUUUUCUUUUCCUUACACACAGCAAAACUGCUAUCACUGAGCAUACUGCAACUGUGGCUAUGCUGGCAAUGACAAUAUAAAUUGCAGUGGAUGUUCUUUUCCGAUGUUGAUUGUUCCAACAAGUUAGAUCCAGGCAGAGCUUCGAAUUCCCUUCCACGUGAAUUCUAGAGAGAUUUAUAAAGGCUCCUUCCUUAGGAAGAAGUCCUUCAAGGUCGUUGAAUGAGAGGUUCAACAAGUGAAGGGCCUGCAAGUUUUCAAGAUUAUUGGGUAUUAUGCCUGAUAUUUGAUUCGAAGAGAGGUCAAGGAUCUCCAAACCCUUCACGUCGCCUAGAGUAGCUGGAAUGACUCCAGAGAACAUAUUGUUUUCCAUGAAUAACUUCUCCAAACUCUUCCAGCUUCCAAUUGUAUCUGGGAUGCUUCCAGACAAAUGAUUGUGAGAAAAAUCAACAGCGGCAACAUUUUCGAGCCCCUUGAUCUCUUGAGGCAAAGAACCUGUUAGCUGGUUACUGGACAGGUUCAGAGUUGCACUCAAACUGGAGAGACUGAAAAUUUCUUUCGGUAUGCUUCCGCUGAGCCUGUUGCUGGAUAGAUCCAUGGACACCAAUUGCUGGAAAUUAACAAAAGUUGUGGGCAGACUUCCUACCAAGUCGUUAGUAGAUAGAUCAAUUUCAUUCAGUUUUUGGAGCUUUCCAAGGGAGUUUGGAAUUCUACCCGAUAUCUUAUUUGCAGCCAAAUGCAACUCUUGCAGAUUUUAAGCUCGCCAAUUUCUGGUGGAAUCUCACCAGAAACAUAAUUAUAGCUUAUAUUUAGCAACGCCAAGCUUCUAAGAUGUCUGAUUGAGGCUUGUAUCCUUCCAUAUAUUCUAUUCCCCCCCAAGUAUAAACUUCUAAGAGAACCCGAGAGAUUUCCAAUGGAUUCCGGAAUGAGACCCUCCAGAAGAUUGCCAUCGAUGGCAAGAAAGUUAAGAUAGCUACUGUUUAUGAAAGAAGUGAGAAAAUUGAGACCCUCAUCACCAGAACUUUUUAUCUGAUUGUAGCCAAUGUUAUACAUUUGCAAUUCAGGAAGAUUUCCAAGUCCUGAUGGCACAUAUCCACUCAGAAGAUUGUGUGCCAUACGGAUGCUCUGUAUGUUUGUAAGAUUAUGCAAAGACCAUGGAAUUGAACCAGUAAAUUUGUUGAUGCAAAAAUUGAAGUUCAAAAGAUUUGGGAGUCUAUCUCCAACAUCAACUGGGAUUUCACCUCGCAGUUGGUUUGAUGCAACCGCGAGGAAAACCAAAGAAGAAAUGUUGUACAGGGAUACAGGAAUUCUGCUGCUCUGCUGAGCUGAAACAGCAGGCAUAACCUUGGCCAGUGAGGAGGUCUCAUCCCGCAAGAAAUUUGAAGUUUGCGUAAAGUUACAGUGAAGUGUAUGAAUAGCUUCGUUCCAAAGGAGGAAAUUACAUUAUCAGUUGCCUGGGGAUCCUUCUGCUCUUGUAGAGAUCUGAGCUUUAUAUGAACAACUCACACUUGACCAAAUUAUUAUUAUUAUUAUUUAACUCUUCUUUCAAUUGAGUAUAAAUUUCUCUAGCAAUUGGCACUUCCGAAAGCUUUUUAAAAGACAGAAAUUACCCUUAAAGAUUCUCAUCAACUCUGUUGUGAAAAAUUCUGAGAAUUGAUAAAUCCUUUUAUCCUUUUUCUUUCUAAUUAGCCACCCUCCUGUCCUGUCUUGAUUUUUAUUUUAUAUUUUAAAACAUACAAAGAUAUCUUUUACUUUAAUUCUUUGUUUUUAGGGUUGAUAUUGUAAAUAUAUUAUUUAGUUCAUUCAUUUUAUUGCAAGUUCUAGAAUCAAGGCUAAAUGCUCAGAAUUCCACCAAUUUAUUGUAUGUAAUUCACUAUUUAUUUUUAUAUUGAUAAAUUAAAAACAUACAAUAAUCUUAAGAGAAAAUUGUUGCUUAAAUUCAUGUUCAUUAAGAAAAUCAAAGAAAAAAUUAAUAUACUCAGUAAAACAGUGUUGUUAAGCUAAACACCAUCUUUAUGUUUUCGCUAUCACCGUGUUUUGUUCAGGGAUAUGAGUGAUUAAUGUUGAUUGUAUUUCUUCUAAUGUUCUUCCCUUCGUCUCUGGCAGCAACUUCCAUACGAAUAGAAUAGUUAAAGCACACAUUCCACUGAAGAUGAAGAAGGUCCCUGCAAGAAAUAUCCAGCACGGAAUAUUAAUGAAAAAAUAUUGACCAAAGGAUUGUAGGAGUGCCCCAUUGCGCAGUUGCAUCUGGUAAUGGAAAGAUUGGUGUAACUAUAGAUCUACAUCUCAUUUAGUAAGAACAACAUUAGAAAAUUUUACUUGAAAAUGAAGAGAGCAUAGUGAAAUACAAGCAACACAGAACACUAGAGAGCCUUAAUGGCCAUCAGAACACAUACACUCAAUGCCUGUGAGAAAACUCGCUUGAUUUGUACCUUGCCUUUUGCAUUACUGUAGCAGUGAUCAUAUAAAUCUUUUCAAAAUCUCCGUGCAUUGCAUUUAUUCCAGGCUAUGUGAUUUUUCGUGGAUAGAGAAGUUCAACUCUUGCAUUCGUUUUUAUGCAGGUUCGCCGUCGUUUGUCUGAAUGAAAAUAGAUAUGGAGGGACCUUUGCUUUUAUGAAGAUAAAUGUGGAAAUGAGUAAAAAUAAUCGACUUAUUCGAGCACGAAGGGGAAGGCCAUGCCAUAACUUAUAAGGGGUUAAUUAUAUUUUAGUCAAUCCAGUAUAGUAAAACUAACUAAUCAGUCAUCUUAGUUUAAAAUGUCCUGAGAUGAAGUUUUUCUCCAACGGAGCACUGAGCACUCCCAAGCUGCGGAGAGUUAAUUUCAAUGAUGUAGAGAAGAAAAAUCUCAACACCACAAUACAACAGUUGUCUACACAAACGAUAAGUACCGACCAAGCAUUCCAAUUUCUGCAAACCAUGAAAUAAGUUCUAACUAGGUAUCUAAUUUUGCUUGUAUUUAACUAUUUCAGAAAGCUCAAAUUGCUGAAAGUUCAUCAUCGUAAAAGCUUGAGAUACAUGCUUGCUCCACCGAUGGGUUCGAUCCCUGUGCAGCUCCUAGAGUUGGAAGUAAAAGGAGAGAAAGGAAGAAAGGAGGGAGAUGAAGAAGACAGGAGCAGGAGAAAUCAAUUAAUGAUCUUCAUAAUUCACUCGUCAAAACUGUGUAAUGUAAAAUACAAUACAUAUGAAUAUCCAACUCUACCCAAACAUUGAUUUACAAUUACUAUAAAAAAAUGUUGUUUUAAUGUAAAAAUAUUAUAAUUGUAAAUUUUGUUAUUUUUUGUGGUAAAAUUGUAAUUUUUUGGGUUUUUUUAGAAAACAUGUUUUUUCAAUAUUUUUUUAUACUUGUUAUUUUUAUCAUUUUAUAUUUGAUUUAUUUAUCACCAUUUUUUAUCUUUAUUUUUUAAUAUUUCUUUAUUUUUUUCCUUACAUUUUUUUUAAAUAUUAUUUUUUACACUUUAAAUAUUUAUUACAAUACUUGGUUUAUCACUGUACUAUUUUUUUUGUUUUUAUCUUUAUAUUUUUAUAAUUUUUAUUUACAUUUUUUUAAAACUAUUAUAUGUAGAACACUUUUUUUUAUUUCUUUAUAUUUUAUUAACACAUAUGAUAUUUACUACAAUUUAUUAUAUAUAAGUAUCGAUUUCUUGAUUCAUGGUUAUAUUUCUUACCUGAUGUCGAAAAACACAUCAAUAACACCUAUACAUUAAUUAUUUUGUGUUAAAAAAAAUAAUUGACAUACAACGAGACAAGUCAAAUUGACGCAUGAACACUUUAUUUUUUAUAUUUAUUGGCACAAAUGGUUCUCGAAGUAUUUAAUUAAAUGCAUGCGUAAAUCUUUUGAUUUAUAAUUAUAAUUUAAAUAAAAAUAAAAACAUAUUUGAAAAGCUUGUAUAUUUUUUUUUGUUAAAAAACAUUAUCCGACCUGUGAUAAACCCUAGUCUUGAUCCAAAGGGAGAACUAUAAACACCUUGACAUUUGCAAGAAGGCUUUUCAGCACCAAUACUACUAACACUCAAGUCGGUCAAAUUGGGAUGAUUUGUAACCCAAUUUUUUACCAUUUUUAUUUUUAUUAUUAUUAUUUUAUUUACUGAAAAGAUAAAAAAUAAUGAAAAAAAAAUAAUGAUGAAAAAAAGUAAAAUGAAAUAAAUUAAGAAUGAAUUAAAAUUUUGGUUAAUGGCAUCAUGGUUGGAAGUUUUGGGGUUUAAUCAAACUUUGAAAUUAAUCCAAUCAAGGGCUUAAUGGAAGAAUUGAUAAGUUUUGAGACUUAAUUGAGUUUGGAAUUAAUUUAAUUAAUCCAAUUAAGGGUUUAAUUGGAGAAUUGAUAAGUUUUGAGAUUAAGCUUGGAAUUAAUUUAAUUAAUCCAAUCAAGGGUUUAAUUGGAGAAUUGAUAAGUUUUGAGACUUAAUUAAGCUUGAAAAUUAAUUUAAUUAAUCCAAUCAAGGGUUUAAUUAGAAAAUUGAUAAGUUUUUGGACUUAAUUGGCUUGGAAUUAAUUUAAUUAAUGAAACCCGGGGACUUAAUUGAAGAAAUAUCAAAGUUUGGGGUUUAAUUGGGGUCUAAAUUGCAAACAUUAAAAUCCAAGGACCAGAUUGAAAAUGUCACGGAAAUGCAAGGAUCCAAUUACGUUUUAACCAGGGGCUUGAUUACAAAAGUAUAAGAAUCCAGAGGACCAAAUGGAAAGCAGCCCUUAGACAUAGAAAACGGGGUUGUUUUGCAGCGACUGUUCACCGUCUUCUUCCUCUGCAACGGCUCUGCCAUUAAAGGCAGAGACGUUUCAUCCGUUGGCAGCAACGUUUACUCAUUGAAGGCGACCAGUUACAGGGCAUUGAGGAGGCGACCGUUGCCACCGAUUCUGGCCUUAUAAAAGGAGAGGGAAUCACAGAACCGCAGGGGGAAAAGGAAAGCCAUGCACGGCAGGGAGAGAGACUAAAACCAAAGGAAAACCUGGGAGGGACAGAACCAGGGAAUAUUUUUGUCCAUCAACCAGCAGACUUCGUGCUUUUACCACCAUCGUCUUCGUCUUGAACGGAGAAGACUGGGCAGAACCGAGGAACGAAAAAACUGAGAAAAAUAAAAGCAGAGGAACGACGCAGAGACAAGGAGCAGCCCCGCCAUCUUCCUUGUCCCUUCAUCUCAGAACUGAAGGUGACAUAAUCUCAAACCAGGAGCAAAGGAGACGCAAACUCAGCCCAUCGGACGAAAGCGUAGAGACGAGAACCGGCGUUGACCAUCGUCUUCACAGUCUUCAGCAACCAGCCUCCAUAACCAGAGGCAGCAGAACAAAGAAGACGACACCGAGAAUGUGGUAGAACCAGAGACAGAGGACGGAAGACGAAGAAGAAGAAGCAGAGGACAGAGAGAGAAGUGAUAUAGAGAGGGACAGGAGGAGAAGGAAACCAGAAAUCAAAAAAAGAAGGCAGAGAGAAAGAAGACCAGAAAAAAGAACAAACCAAACGCAGGAGGAGAAAGUAACAUUAACCGGCCGGCCCUCCAUUACUGUCAUCGCAUCUUCAAGUGCAGCUACCAGGUAAGGUGCGCUUUCCUUUGAAACAUUGUAAGGGGAUGUAUCUCAAAUGGUAGAGCGCUCGCUUUGCAUGCGAGAGGUACAGGGUUCGAUCCCCUGCAUCUCCAUUUCCCUUUUUUUUUUUUUCUUGAGAAACAGUAUUGUGUUCUGGAAGACACUGCUAUAAUUGGAGAGUUGAAGAAAUUCCAACUGCCAAGAAAUUCCAUCUCUUUUUAUUGUAUAAAGACGUUUCCCUGUGAAACAUGAACUCUGUACUUUGGGCAUUACCCGAGCUCAAAAAAUUCUAUCCAGGAAGACAUCGACAUAUUUGAAAGAAAUUAUGUGUGUAUUACUAUGACAAAUUGGAGAUAUUUGAUUCAGAACAUACAAGCUUCCACAUGACAAUGCUACAUAGGAACACACCUUUCCUCUUUUUUGUUUUCUUGCAAAUCUUAAUGGACAAAAUAUUUUACCAGUUGAGUUACAGAGCCGGGGGAGGUUUUCUCUAAUGCAAUUCAUUUCUAUUACAAGAUUUCAAUGGACAAAAUCUUUAGACAAUAAUUACAUAUGGUUAAAAAAAAAUCACUUUUAAAAUAUAAAAACAAACAGACCUAAAUCUUUCACCAGUAGAGUUACAGGGCUAGGGAAGUUUUUCUCUACUAGAAUCCAUUUCUAUUACAAGAUCUCAUCGGACAAAAUCUCUAGACAACAAUUACAUAUGAUUAAAAAAGAGACCCACCUAUGACCUAUCUAUGCUGCAAUCAUUUUGGUCUUACAAAUAUUAUUUGAAGUGAGACACUUUCUACAAUUAUUUUUAUUUAGAUUUUCUAAAUUUUGAAAAGUUUCACAUUCAGUAUAAUAAAAAAGAUAUAUAUUUUUUUUCAUUCGAAAGAGCUUUAUUAUUAAAAAAUAAUUAGCUUGCUAGUUAUUUUCAGAUUUAAAUUAAGUACUAUUUCAGAUAUAUUUUUUUCAAUUUUUAUUGUUGCUUUCUCUCUUUUUUUUCUGUUUGGAUUAAUAUUUUCAAUUUAAUUAGUUGGGAUAUUUUUUUUAUAUUUAAUUAAUAUUUUUUUUUAAUAAAAUACAGAUUUUUCAAAAACUAUCAAAGAUUUUAUUUUUCUCCAUAAUCAAGGACUUGGCACUUGGCAGAGUUCAAUUGGUUAGUUCUCCAAAGUGGGCCCCUAGUUUCUGUAGCAAUGCAGCAAGCCAAGUUGUUCCUCACUGUUUAUGGAUGUUGUGCACUUGCUGAUUCGGCAGAGUUCAAUCGGUUAGUUCUCCAAAGUGGGCCCCUAGAUUCUGUAGUAAGUCAAGUUGUUCUUCUUUUUUUAUGAAGGAAAGAUGCUCUCUUUCAACUAUACAGAGAGUAAUCAUUAAGCCAUCCACUGUUGCUCUCAUCCAUUCCCUUGCUUUCUCACUGCUGAUAAACCUCAGCUGUUUAUAAUCUGCAGUAAUAUUUGCAUCUCUGCUCACUGGUCUGAAGUCACUGCUCUGUUGAUUAGCUGAAACCAAGAUGUAUGGUUGCUUAAGGACUUUUCCUUUUUCCUAUUUUUAUCACUUGAUUCCAGAGACCCUUUGAUGUUAAUUUUCUAUUCAUCUUGAUUGCUUUCUUUCUUUCUUUGUUACUUUAUGCUGUUGAAAAGCCUCUGCUUUGCUGCUUGUUUAUUAUUUGUGUUGUUUUUGCUUUAUUAAUGUAACUUUCAACAACGAAACCCUUUUGCUGUUGAUUUCUGAUCUAGUUCCAGAAGAUUUGAAAAAUUUCCUUUUGAUUUAAUCUGUUCAUUGCAGUUCCUUGAUUGCUUGAUUCCAGACAAGAAGAAGAUUUAAGUUUCAUUGGACAUGGAUAUUUUGAGUACUGUUGUCGCCACAGUUGCUGAGCUGUUAGUUGUUCCCAUUAAGAGACAGAUUGGUUAUGUAAUUGAUUGUAAUGCCAAUAUUCAGAACUUAAAAAAUGAAGUUGAGAAGCUGACAGAUGCAAAAACAAGGGUGAUUCAUUCUAUAGAGGAGGCUAGAAGGAAUGGGGAAGAGAUUGAAGUUGAUGUUGAGAACUGGCUGAGAAGUGUUGAUGGGGUCAUUCAAGGGGGAGGUGGUGUUGGUGGAGAUGAAUCAAGUAAGAAGUGCUUCAUGGGUUUGUGUCCUGAUCUAAAGAUACGCUAUCGGUUGGGUAAAGCAGCGAAGAAGGAGUUGACGGUUGUUGCUGAUCUCCAGAAAAAAGGGGAAUUUGCUAGGGUUUCUUACCGUCCUGCUCCAUCGGGUAUAGGGCCUGUCCAGGGCUAUGAGGCCUUUGAAUCAAGAGAUUCUGUAGUAAAUGCUGUUGUGGAUGCAUUGAAGGAUGGUGCCGUGAACAUGGUUGGGGUAUAUGGGAUGGGUGGUUUGGGGAAGACCACACUUGUGUUGAAGGUUGCUGAACAAGUCAAGGAGGGUAGGCUGUUCGAUAAGGUGGUUCUGGCACUUGUGUCACAGACUCCAGACAUCAGAAGAAUUCAAGGUGAAAUAGCAGAUGGGCUAGGACUCAAAUUGGAUGCAGAGACUGAUAAAGGAAGGGCAAGUCAACUAUGCGAGGGAUUGAAGAAAAUGACUAGAGUACUUGUAAUUCUUGAUGAUAUUUGGAAAGAACUUAAAUUGGAGGAUGUUGGAAUUCCUCACGAAGGAUGCAAGAUACUCAUGUCUUCAAGAAAUGAAUAUGUACUGUCUCGCGAGAUGGGUGCAAUAAAAAAUUUCCCGAUUCAAUUUUUGCCUCCAAAUGAAGCAUGGAAUUUUUUCGAAAAGAUGGUGGGGGUUACUGUUAAAAAUCCUAGUCUACAACUUGUUGCUGCUGAAGUAGCCGAAAGAUGCGCAGGUUUGCCGAUUUUACUUGCUACAGUUGCGAGGGCACUGAAAAACAAAGAUUUAUAUGCUUGGAAGGACGCCUUGACACAGCUAAAAAGGUUUGAUAAAGAUGAAAUUGACAAACGAGUUUACUCGUGUCUAGAACUGAGUUACAUAGCUUUGAGAGGUGAUGAAAUCAAGUCAUUGUUCUUGCUUUGUGGGCAAUUACGAUCUAAUAAUAUUUUAAUCUCAGACUUGUUAAGGUAUGGUAUAGGCUUGGAUUUGUUGAAGGGACGUUCCACAUUGGAAGAAGCAAGAAACAGACUGCAUACAUUGGUGGAUGAGCUUAAAGCCUCUUGUUUGUUGCUAGAAGGUGACAAUGAUGGAAGCGUGAAAAUGCAUGAUGUUGUUCAAAGUUUUGCCAUCGAUGUUGCAUCAAGGGACCGCCAUGUGCUUGUUGUGACAGAUGAACUCAAAGAAUGGCCAACCAAUGAUGUGCUUCAACAGUGCAGUGGAAUCUCUUCGCCUUACCGGAAAUUUCCUGAUCUUCCUGCAAUAUUAGAAUGUCCAAAUCUCAGGUCGUUUAUACUGCUGAACAAGGAUCCCUCACUGCAAAUACCAGACAACUUUUUCAGAGAAAUGAAGGAGCUUAAAGUCUUGGGUCUUACAGAAGUUAAUCUUUCACCACUGCCUUCGUCACUUCAAUUUCUUGAGAACCUUCAAACGCUGUGUUUGGAUCAUUGUGUUUUGGAAGAUAUAUCUAUAGUUGGAGAGCUAAAGAAGUUGCAAGUUCUCAGCUUAGUGAAUUCUAAUAUUGUUUGUUUGCCAAGAGAAAUAGGAAAAUUGACUCGUCUGCUACUUCUAGAUUUGAACAAUUGUGAAAGGCUUGAAGUAAUAUCACCAAAUGUCCUUUCUUCCUUGACCCGUCUAGAAGAAUUAUAUAUGGGAAACAGCUUUCUGAAAUGGGAGGCUGAAGGAUCAAGCAGUGAAAGAAACAAUGCUUGCCUGUCAGAAUUGAAGCUUCUGGCAAACUUAAUUACCUUAGACAUGCAAAUUACAGAUGCAGAUCAUAUGCCCAAGGACUUGUUUUUGUGCUUUCGAAAGUUGGAAAGGUUCAGAAUAUUUAUUGGAGAUGGGUGGCACUGGUCUGUUAAGUAUGCAAC
rnacentral:lncRNA from 1 species